rnacentral:sRNA from 1 species
UACGGGAGCGGAAUUUGACCCGGAGGAAGAUGAACCAACGUUAGAAGCAGCCUGGCCUCAUCUACAGCUUGUUUAUGAAUUUUUCUUAAGAUUUUUAGAGUCUCCAGAUUUCCAACCUAAUAUAGCGAAGAAAUAUAUUGAUCAGAAGUUUGUAUUGCAGCUUUUAGAGCUCUUCGACAGUGAAGAUCCUCGGGAGAGAGAUUUUCUUAAAACCACCCUUCACAGAAUCUAUGGGAAAUUCCUAGGCUUGAGAGCUUACAUCAGAAAACAGAUCAAUAAUAUAUUUUAUAGGUUUAUUUAUGAAACAGAGCAUCAUAAUGGCAUAGCAGAGUUACUGGAAAUAUUGGGAAGUAUAAUUAAUGGAUUUGCCUUACCACUAAAAGAAGAGCACAAGAUUUUCUUAUUGAAGGUGUUACUACCUUUGCACAAAGUGAAAUCUCUGAGUGUCUACCAUCCCCAGCUGGCAUACUGUGUAGUGCAGUUUUUAGAAAAGGACAGCACCCUCACGGAACCAGUGGUGAUGGCACUUCUCAAAUACUGGCCAAAGACUCACAGUCCAAAAGAAGUAAUGUUCUUAAACGAAUUAGAAGAGAUUUUAGAUGUCAUUGAACCAUCAGAAUUUGUGAAGAUCAUGGAACCCCUCUUCCGGCAGUUGGCCAAAUGUGUCUCCAGCCCACACUUCCAGGACAAUACAUGGCUUGAUAUACAACGCCCUGAAGCUCUUCAUGGAGAUGAACCAAAAGCUAUUUGAUGACUGUACACAACAGUUCAAAGCAGAGAAACUAAAAGAGAAGCUAAAAAUGAAAGAACGGGAAGAAGCAUGGGUUAAAAUAGAAAAUCUAGCCAAAGCCAAUCCCCAGGUACUAAAAAAGAGAGUAACAUGAAAACGCCCAGGGUUACUUGAAUGUUUUUAUAAGAUAGGAAUAUAUGUCUUCACCAUGGGGGGGGUCUCGAUUUCACUAACGUUGUAUAUGAAAAUGUCUGCAA